GCCUAACACAUUGCAAGUCGAACGGUAGCACAGAGAGCUUGCUCUCGGGUGACGAGUGGCGGACGGGUGAGUAAUGUCUGGGAAACUGCCUGAUGGAGGGGGAUAACUACUGGAAACGGUAGCUAAUACCGCAUAACGUCGCAAGACCAAAGUGGGGGACCUUCGGGCCUCAUGCCAUCAGAUGUGCCCAGAUGGGAUUAGCUUGUUGGUGAGGUAACGGCUCACCAAGGCGACGAUCCCUAGCUGGUCUGAGAGGAUGACCAGCCACACUGGAACUGAGACACGGUCCAGACUCCUACGGGAGGCAGCAGUGGGGAAUAUUGCACAAUGGGCGCAAGCCUGAUGCAGCCAUGCCGCGUGUAUGAAGAAGGCCUUCGGGUUGUAAAGUACUUUCAGCGAGGAGGAAGGGGGAGUGGUUAAUAACCAUUUUCAUUGACGUUACUCGCAGAAGAAGCACCGGCUAACUCCGUGCCAGCAGCCGCGGUAAUACGGAGGGUGCAAGCGUUAAUCGGAAUUACUGGGCGUAAAGCGCACGCAGGCGGUCUGUCAAGUCGGAUGUGAAAUCCCCGGGCUCAACCUGGGAACUGCAUUCGAAACUGGCAGGCUAGAGUCUUGUAGAGGGGGGUAGAAUUCCAGGUGUAGCGGUGAAAUGCGUAGAGAUCUGGAGGAAUACCGGUGGCGAAGGCGGCCCCCUGGACAAAGACUGACGCUCAGGUGCGAAAGCGUGGGGAGCAAACAGGAUUAGAUACCCUGGUAGUCCACGCUGUAAACGAUGUCGACUUGGAGGUUGUUCCCUUGAGGAGUGGCUUCCGGAGCUAACGCGUUAAGUCGACCGCCUGGGGAGUACGGCCGCAAGGUUAAAACUCAAAUGAAUUGACGGGGGCCCGCACAAGCGGUGGAGCAUGUGGUUUAAUUCGAUGCAACGCGAAGAACCUUACCUACUCUUGACAUCCACAGAACUUGCCAGAGAUGGAUUGGUGCCUUCGGGAACUGUGAGACAGGUGCUGCAUGGCUGUCGUCAGCUCGUGUUGUGAAAUGUUGGGUUAAGUCCCGCAACGAGCGCAACCCUUAUCCUUUGUUGCCAGCGAUUCGGUCGGGAACUCAAAGGA
rnacentral:rRNA from 1 species